CAAAACCACACCGGAACAGGAAAUAUAAUUAUGACGAGACAGACAGAGAGAGAGAGAGAGAGAGAGACCCAUUCAUUCUUCACCUGUCAACAUCUGGGGAGGGGACCAUAAAUGUCCCCAGGUCUGUCUGCCUUUCUGUCGACGACCCUAAGUGUCUUGACACCCCCUCAACUUUUUCUUCAUUAACUUGUGCAACAUUCGCGGUCUAAGAUCUAAUUUUAAAUCUGUACAACACCACCUCUCCUCUUCUAAACCUCAUCUUCUUUUCCUCACAUAAACUCGGGUGUCUGAGGCAACUGACAGUAGCUACUGUUUUUGUUUUGUAAUGCAGUUUAGUACAGAGCAGAAAUUCGUGUUACCAAAUGGUCCAGCGUCUUAUUUUAACUUUUAUAAAUUUCUAGAGAUCUAUUUAGGUUUUCAGAGGUAUUUUCGUGACUAGGAAAAAAAUAAUCCAGCUCUACGUGUUUCUUAUGUAAUUCAACUUAUUACACAACAGGAAUCCGUGUUAUCAUAUCUUCCCGCGUCUUAUCUGAACUUUUAUCAUGUUCUGGUCUGUUAUUUAAGUUUUCAAAGGCAUUUUCAUGACUAGCACAAAAAUCCAUCUAUUCUUGUUUGUUCUGUAAUUUUUAUAUAACAGAAGAGAAACUCGUAUCCUCAAACGAUCUGGCGUCUUAUCUUUCUUAAUUUUUAUCAGGUUCUAGUAGAAAUUAUGUACGUUUUUAUGUUUCUGGGUAAAAAAGAAAACAUCUAUCUUCCCUGUUUAUUCUGUAAUUCAUUUAACUACAGCAGAACAAGAACAACAUGCUAAAACAUUCCGGUUGCGUUGCGAGAAGUUUUGUGGAGCAGUUGUGAAAUAUCGUCUGUUGCUGAAUUACUGACGUGUCCUUAAGCUUCACCUAUAUUGUAAUAGCACGUGUUUCUUGAUUUCUGACCUGGUGUUCUAGAGUGUAUGGUGUCUUAUAUAGGGAACAGUGAGAAAGGACCUUCACUCCUCUCCCUGUGUCGGUCAAGAAAACCGAACCGUCCCCUUUACAAGAUAAAACCCCUCUGUAACCUGGCUUUGGUCUGUAUGACAUCAAAUCGCUCCACUCCCUCCCUUAUCCACUCUUUAAAUUCCCUUAUACUCUUUACCCAAUCUUAAUAACCCUAGGAACACCUCAGCAAUAUAAUAUCUUAAGAGUCUUCUGUGGAAUCAACUCAGACAGGUUUGAAUUACUUGAAUCGCGCUGACACACCUUCUCCUCACACUCCGUCUCUUAAACGUCCUUUAAAUUCCCCUAUACUCUUUACCCAAGCUUAUUAACCCCACAGAUACUUUCUUACUACAAUAUCUUAAGUCUAAUACGUAAUCAUAUCAGAGGCUGGAAUUGUUUGAAUUUCGCGCGAAAACAUCCGCUCUUCACACCAUCUAAAUUGUGUUAUACUCCUUAUCCAAGCUUAUUAACCCCUAAAGAACCGGGGACGUCGAUCGACGUUUUGGGCUCAAAGGACCGGGGACGUCGAUCGACGUCUCUGUAAAUAACGCCAAAUUAUGCGUUUUUCCGCCCGAUUUUCUAGCCAAGUGUAUGGCAACACUGAUUAAGACUAGGAUGGGAAGGGUUGUCAGUUCCCCGCUAGCCUUCGUCAUGGCUGGUCAUCAUGGAAGUGAUUCCGCCUCGUCCGAUUUGGUGCACUCGCCCCCGCGCGUAUUUACUUCCACUCCAUCCAUCCACUCUAGGCCCUCCACGUCAGCUAGGAGGCCUCUAAGUAUAAGUGGCAUUGAACAGGAGUUAGAAAUCACUGUCUCCACGAUUAUUGAGAGUGAGGACAGUGAUGUGCUGGGGUCUGAUGAUGCAGGAGACAGGGGCACCAGCACCACCACAGCCACCACCGAUGAUGAAGUGCUGUCACCGCCAAAACCAGAGCAACCAGCCCAGCAAUCAGCCCAACCUGAACCUGUUGCAGGGCCUAGUACACCAGGCCCCAGUACAAUUAGGGUAAAAAAGGUCAUAGAUCCCGUUUUCUGCGUUACUAAGCCAGAGCCACCAUCACUGAUCGGACGCGCCCCCUCACUUUCACCGCAACACCACCUCAAUCAACUCGUCAUAUCUCCGUAACCAUGGCACCUAGAAACUUCUGGUUGGUACCAUUCAAAAGAGGAGGAGUUGAUUGUGGGGUAAGUAUUGUUUUCUUUCACUCGUUUAUUGUAGGUUAGGCGUACUGAGCAUGCAAAGAUAAGCUAUUUUGCACGUUUUUCCCCAUAUCCCCCGCCCUAGCGGGACUGAUAUACUUACCCCGCGCGGUCCUUUAGGGGUUAAGCCUAGGAACACUUCAGAAAUACAAUAUCUUAAUAGUAUAGUGCGGAAUCAUGCCUUUACACGCUUCAGUUACGCUCUAAUAAACUCCUUUCAAUAGCGAGAAAAUAUGAGCUGUCAAGUGAAUGGCAUCCACCAUCACCAUGACAACGGGUCGUGAAUAGCCAAUCCCAGCUCGCCAUUUCAUCCGGGACCUCAAGAUGGCCACACUGAUACAAUAUAGUUUAAUUUCCAGCCAAGAUGAGAGUUAACCGAGACUUAUAUGGUGGAUAAAAAGCUCUUAAAAAUAUGGGUGUUCCGAGGAAAGUAUACCACUAGGGAAUGUGGGUUACAUUAGUAAUGGAGGAAUAUUUUGACAGCAGACGAAACUAAAGUGUUGCCACGGUGACGGUGGUGGUGGGCAUGACACAGAUGCGGGAGGUGGAGUUUGUGCCCGAUGGAGACAUGCAGGUGGACAAAUUGUGUUGGUCAUUGGUCAGACUGGAGUUUACAUGUGUACCUCCUUCACCAUCAUUGGUGGACACUUCACCUUGAGUGAUGCUUGAGCUGUCAUGGUGCUGCUGCUGUUGUCUGCCAUCAUCCCCCUGACACAGACCACCCUGCAGACCACCUUCAUCCUGGGUGCCACACGUCACUGCUGCUACAACUCAGAGCAACUGGAGCGCAAGCCAGGAAGGGAAAUGGAGUUGCCGAUCCAAAGGCCUGGCUCAGGAGUGAUCCUGUGCCACCUGUACCAUCAAGAUCAAGAUCAAGAUUUGUGUACCCCUUGAUCCUGGACGUGACCAAGGGAGAGAGACGAGUUAAAGGAAGAUCUCAAUUUACUACUGAACUACAAAGGGAGCGAGGAAUGUGACAAAAAGGGAGCAAUGGAGUUUGCAGAAGCGGUGAAAGCUUUGGCACAGGACAAGGAAAGGGUUAUUGAAGAUUUGAAGAUUAGGAUUCAGCUUCUAACAGAUGAAUGUGACAGAAGAAGAGGAGGAGGAGGAGGAGGAGGAGGAAGAGAGGAGGAGGAAGGGAGAAAUGUUGGAGGACAGAUAUUGCAAGAAAAUGUUGAAUUGAAGAAUGAGAUCACCUCACUGCAGAAACAAGUCAGAAAUUUGGAAAUUGAACUGGCAAGAGCAAAACGGUUUUCAUUUGUGACGCAGCAGAGCACCACCGCCACCACCACCACCACCACCACCGCUGCUGCUGCUGCUGCCAUCGACAUGACAGCCUCCACAGCCUCAACGACUGUUAAUGAAGACACGAGAGAGAAUUUGCCACACCAGGCCAGCCCACUCCUGUCUCAUGGUACCAUCACCUUUAAUUCCUGGCUGACUGGGGACACACUGUUGGUGGUUUGGGAUGCAAUACAUGGCCACUACAGUGUUCAUUUUGAAACCGUUCAUGCUGAGGAGGGUGAAAACUGAGGUGGAAAAUGAAUAAACUUACAAAAUUGAGACACGCAUAGAAAGACGGCGCCAUUUGCAUCAGCUGAUGACGCCUAGACCGAGACCCAAACAUUCUCUCCAGUGCGGUUCCUGCAGCCUGUGUGAUGUGAUUAUUCAUAUUUUUGCCUACCUACACACCUGGCCGGCACUCCCACAGCGUGUAUAGAGACUCAGAACCAAAUGUGGAUGAAGUGGAGAGAAUCCGUUCAAAUUUACAGCAGAUGGAUAGAUUCCUUGGCCCUUAUCCACAUGAGUCCUGGAAGAAGUGGAUCUCUCUCACUCAGCACGUGGAGGAGACAGAACUUAAGUGGAUGAUCCCUCUGUCAGGUUGAGUUUGUUCGGCAGCAAAAUUAAUACCUGUCACUGGGUUCAGAUCUUCCAAGACACGCAGACACACACAGCAGCCCCUCCACCUCCUGGGGUUCAGAUCUUCCCAAGACACACAGACACACACAGCAGCUUCUCCACCUCCUCACAGCCCUCCACAGCCCCUGACAGCCUUCAUACACCACCAGAACAGCAACACAGCUUCCACAGGCCUCUCAAACAUCACAGGAGCCUCACAAACAGCCCCACACAGCACCACAAACCCACUAGACCCCCCAGCCCAUUACCUCACCCCACUUCACAGCACCCCCCCCCCCCUCCACAGCUCCCAGAAAUGAAGCCGAGGGAAGGGACUAUAUUUUGUUUCACCCAGCCCCCCACCAGAACCUACAGAGGGGGGGCUAGUGAAGUCAGAAUAUAGUCUUUACUCUUCCUACAGUUUGAAGUUAAUGUUUGGUAUGGCCGGACAGCUUAGUGGCAGAGCUCCAGGUGGCCUUCGUCAGCUUCUUGGUGGCACAGGUGUGGGAUGGCUGGGACCAGUGGAGGUGUGUGGAGGAGCAUCUGUGCCAGGCAGAGGUGCUGCUGCUGGAGGGGCUGCAGUUGUGUGCAAAGCUCCUCUUGGUCCUACACUAUAUUUUUCGUCUUUCUAUAUAUAAAGUUGUCUCUCUCUCUCUCUCUAUUACGUUAACUUAACCCUUUCCUUCCCCACAGAUCCCUGAAGACCUAUUCAUCAACAUUGUAGUCCAACAACUUCCUUGCCUCUGCACUCAACACUCUCUUCACCAACAUCAAGGACAACUCCGCCAACCUGCCUUGGUCCUUAAGGCUCAGCACUUCAAGGACCACCUCUCUGCCAAGUUCGAGUGGGAUCUGACACUUGGGGACGAGAGAGUACACGCUGGUGGUGGUUGACUUGGUUGUGCGUGUCUCCAGCACCCUGCAGUACGUACACACACACACACAGACAGACGGACAUCAUCAGAGGAAGAAAAUGCUAUGUUCUGUAAAAGUUUAUGACAUUAAGAAAAUAAAGGGUUAAGAUUCAA